rnacentral:rRNA from 1 species
GAUGAACGCUGGCGGCGUGCCUAAUACAUGCAAGUCGAGCGAACGGACGAGAAGCUUGCUUUUCUGAUGUUAGCGGCGGACGGGUGAGUAACACGUGGAUAACCUACCUAUAAGACUGGGAUAACUUCGGGAAACCGGAGCUAAUACCGGAUAAUAUUUUGAACCGCAUGGUUCAAAAGUGAAAGACGGUCUUGCUGUCACUUAUAGAUGGAUCCGCGCUGCAUUAGCUAGUUGGUAAGGUAACGGCUUACCAAGGCAACGAUGCAUAGCCGACCUGAGAGGGUGAUCGGCCACACUAGAACUGAGACACGGUCCAGACUCCUACGGGAGGCAGCAGUAGGGAAUCUUCCGCAAUGGGCGAAAGCCUGACGGAGCAAUGCCGCGUGAGUGAUGAAGGUCUUCGGAUCGUAAAACUCUGUUAUUAGGGAAGAACAUAUGUGUAAGUAACUGUGCACAUCUUGACGGUACCUAAUCAGAAAGCCACGGCUAACUACGUG